AGUGAACGCUGGCGGUAGGCCUAACACAUGCAAGUCGAACGGCAGCACAGUAAGAGCUUGCUCUUACGGGUGGCGCGUGGCGGACGGGUGAGGAAUACAUCGGAAUCUACUUUUUCGUGGGGGAUAACGUAGGGAAACUUACGCUAAUACCGCAUACGACCUACGGGUGAAAGCAGGGGAUCUUCGGACCUUGCGCGAUUGAAUGAGCCGAUGUCGGAUUAGCUAGUUGGCGGGGUAAAGGCCCACCAAGGCGACGAUCCGUAGCUGGUCUGAGAGGAUGAUCAGCCACACUGGAACUGAGACACGGUCCAGACUCCUACGGGAGGCAGCAGUGGGGAAUAUUGGACAAUGGGCGCAAGCCUGAUCCAGCCAUACCGCGUGGGUGAAGAAGGCCUUCGGGUUGUAAAGCCCUUUUGUUGGGAAAGAAAAGCAUCAGGUUAAUACCCCGCUGUUUUGACGGUACCCAAAGAAUAAGCACCGGCUAACUUCGUG
rnacentral:rRNA from 1 species